CUGCUCUGUGAGUCUGUGCUGUUCUAGAAAGAAGAAAAGCUAUGAGGAGGCUAUAAUGGUUUCCGUCAGUGGAAAUGCCAGAGUCUGUACUGUUAUCAAGAGUGGGGCUAAAAUCUACUGAGAUUGUUUACUGCAACUUUAAAAUGAGUCCAUUUCACACAAACGAUUUCAGCCAAGUGUUCAGACUGACAUCUUCAAUUGCUGGUGCAUGCAACACCCAAACUAAUCAAGUAAAUGUUUUCAAUAUUAAACAAAAACUAAGAUAAGAAAAAUCGUGUAUUGAGACCAAACUAAAAGCUAGGCAAUCUAACCCUCCCCUGUAAUUAAUUUUCCUGAUCGUGUCACCCUCAGAUGCAGUCUUGUUAAGAUUCAGUAACAAAUCACAAUCUUAUUUACCCUACACAUGUCCAGGAAACUUAUUCCUUAGGUGGAGCAAGUUGGCUGAGAUUUUAUUUUGUACAUUUCUGUUAUUUUUAAGAAGCAGAAUCUCAAAUUCACGAAACAUUGCGAUCGCUGCGUAGAUUAUCAAUAAAAUAAUUUGUUAGUUGU
rnacentral:lncRNA from 1 species